rnacentral:rRNA from 1 species
UACGGGGGGAACAAGCGUUGUUCGGAUUUACUGGGCGUAAAGGGCGCGUAGGCGGCCACCGCAAGUCAAUUGUGAAAUCUCCGGGCUUAACUCGGAAAGGGCAACUGAUACUGCGGGGCUAGAGUGCGGAAGGGGCAACUGGAAUUCUCGGUGUAGCGGUGAAAUGCGUAGAUAUCGAGAGGAACACCUGCGGCGAAGGCGGGUUGCUGGGCCGACACUGACGCUGAUGCGCGAAAGCCAGGGGAGCGAACGGG